CUAUAUAGAAAUUGAUUGCAAACGAUUGCAUUGUAGAUAAUUUUUAAUAAUCAAAAUUAAUGUUCACCGUUUCAUCACAGACCAGUAUCAUAUCACCAGCCACUCAAAUUUUGGAUUUAAGAGCUCUGGAAAUUUAACGCUUUGUCGACAACGAUGUAACACACUGUAGUCUUGAAUUAAAGAAGAUAGCCGA